rfam:Myotis davidii contig159494, whole genome shotgun sequence.
GGCAGUUCUCGGGGGACGCACAACGGAAUCAGGCUACCUCCUCUCUGGUUCCAGGUGCAUCACCUGAGAAGCGCA